AAUUCUGGGCUUAUCCUAGUCUCCAGUGAAAAUGCUCUUUUCUCAUUUUACCUCAGAGUCCUCCCCACCCCCACUGGCUUCCACCUAUCUCCUGCAGAAAAUGCUCAAGAUUUCCUGAAUUUACUUUUUCAAUGAAAUAUCAAUAAUAUUCUGUUCCCUGCUAUCUCCUUCCAUUCCCAAACAUCAGUGGCCAGGUAUUUUGGAGGCAUCCUUAAUUUCAGAUAAGAAAACAUUGACCCUGAAAUGGUCAAUUUCCAGUCUUAGAGGUAAACUUGUGUGAGCUGACUUGCAUCAGGGUGAGUUUCUAAAACA